rnacentral:lncRNA from 1 species
UUGGCCCUCGACCAACAAAAGCAGGUCGACUUUAUCUCACUUGACUUUUCUAAAGCAUUUCACCGGGUAUCACAUCAAAAACUAAUAAAAAUAUUGCAGGUGACAAUAGGUAAAGGACCAGUUACAGACUGGAUUAGCUCGUACCUAACCAACCGGACACAGCUUAUAAACAUAAAUCAGCAAAAAAUCCAAAGUACACAAGAUUUUAACUUAUUAGUACCGCAGGGCAGGGUCUUGGCUCCUAUUUUAUUCCUAAUUUUUAUUAACGAUCUACCCUCAUCCAUCAGAACCAACAUAAGGUUUUCACCGAUGAUUGCAUCAUUUAUAAAGAAAUAAACUCUCCUUCCAUUCGUAUUGUCCUCAACAAUGCCUUAAUAUCAGUUUCAGAAUGGUGCGCAAAAUGGCAGAUGACCUUAAAUGUAA